AGUUAAUGAACUUGAAUAAGUAUAUAUUUUGAAAAUAUAAAAUAGAGAAUCUCUAUUAACUU
rnacentral:tRNA from 1 species